GGCUGGAGGUCCAGGCUGGAGGUCCAGGCUGGAGCGUCCCCCAUCUGUGGCAGUGACUUGGAAUAAUGGAAAACGAGUGUUUGUGUCUGUGCAGACGGGAUCAGAUAAAGUGUAUUGGAGGAAUUGUUCUGUUCAUUUCCUGGAGCCUGAUGUUGUAAACACACAGCCUCCUCGCCAUUAAAGCUGCACAUCAGGAGCAGAUGAGAAGAACGUCACCGUUCAGAACCAACAGAUCUGUUUAGGCUGAUACCGGAACAAACAGACUGAGUCAAUGCUUCUUACGCGAGUGAAGCACAGCCUAAAGCUGCUGGUUCGAAUCCCACGUCGUCUGCAGACAAGCUGUGUUUGCUGCUCUGCGUGGUUCAUUUCCUCGCUGCCGUCGUCUGGCUCUUAUCCAGUAGAUGCGUAUCCUGCAGGUGACGGAUGCUCUCAUUGCUUCUUCCAGUACUAGAGAUCGGGCCGAUACCGGCACCUUUAAACACGGCAGCUUAUCACGGCGACAUCGCGGCUCCACUUUAAAUGUAAGGGAGGAAAAUACACAUCGAAGGUGUGUUUCUCCUAAUGAAUGUGUAGCAGGAGGAUGAAAACAGAUCGAACGCUGGUGGAAUGAAGGAAGAAACGCACACGACACUCAGACAGUGCAGUUGAGGAACAGUGUUGUUGAAGGUCCAGGUUCUGGGUUCAUCCUGAACCGACCUGAUAGACGCGAUCCUCUGGACCGUUUUAAAUGUGGGCAUCAAGUCUGGUGAAGACGUGAAGCGCUCAGUGCUUUUGUUCUGUUGGUCCAGUGGAUCAGGUUGCUGCUCCGUUAGCUGGGCCCUGGCUGCACAGGUUCUACAGGUUCUAGCUCAACGGGGUCCAGAUGUUGAUGUUUCUGAUCUGGUUUCCUGUAGGAAGGACUGGUGGUGGCGUCUUCUGCAGAUGAGCUCACCUCCGUCUGCGUCCGGCGCCGGGAGCCGCUUCCUGUUCCCUCGGGCUUCGCCCUGAGACGCGCUGACUCCGUCCCUCUUCUCUGAUCACACUGCGUAUUUCAAAGGUUCCAGUUAUUGCAGUUAUUUUUAGAUGCUGCUCCCACAUCACAUUUCACAGCACGGAGGUAAACGCUCGGUGGCUAAUGUCGUCCUCAUACACACAAUCUGUGUUUUUAUGCACCGCAGCACUAGAUAACAGCAGCAGCAGCAGCAGCACUUUGUUGUGUGAAUAUCUGCUUCUGAAGAAUUGGUGGAUUCGCUGACAAACGGGUUUUGAGUUCAGUGAAGUUAACGUGGAGCCACUGCACACUUUGCUCCUUGGCAGAAGCGUCGGAGCCUUUGAUUUAAGGACUGACGCGGGAUCUGUUCUCUGAAAGUCGCAUCAUGAAAAACGUGAGGGAACCUGAUGUUAAAACCAGUUAUUCUACGAUGUGAAGGAAGAAAGUCCAAAACCUGUUCCAGUUCUUCUUCUGUGUCUGUCUCUGUAGUCUAAUAGUGUGAAUCCAGUGGAUCAAACAACGUUACAUAAACCAGGAAAGAGGAAACACUACUUGUUGCUACUUUUCUGAGCUCAGGUUAUUUCUGCGCUGACCUUGUGAUGCUGCUCCGUGAGGUCAUGCCUGUGACAGGUGUGUUCAGGUCAUCGGUUCCUCCGGUUCCGUCUCUGCGUUCCGUCUACUUGCUAUUUCAGGCUUUUAAUCCCCUCCCGCCUCCCACUUCUAAUUUCACAGUGUCAACAACAGCCACGUGUUGAUUACUGCAUCGACGCACAGCUGAUGAUCUCAGGACCCAGUCUGUUCACUGGAGCUGAAGUCUUGUGUUUAGCAGCUGCUGUCACUGAGUUAAGUGUUGAUCAGCUGAAAUGAAUCAUUAGCGAUUUAUGGCUAAUUAGAUUAUUCCUCAUCUGCGUCCUUCCAUCUUUAGGUCUUUAACUUUGUUCCCACCUCAGAACCAGAGCAGCUGCAGUAAACGUGUUAAUCCAUUAGAAUGAAUGUCGGAGGCUCCGUGGGCGAUGAAGGCGCGUCAUCACAGCUGAUUGUGGCAUCUUGUCCUUUGUGGUUUUACCUCAUGUCCUGUUGACGUGACAACGUUUUCAGAUGGAUCAUUAAUCUGAGAAAGGUUUCUUCACUGGCCUGAAUGUGAAAAGGUGUGUUCAUUGUGUUGCAUCGUCUGAUCGUAGGCUCCUCAUUAGCCUUACGUCACCUUAUGAUGUGACAGUCGUUGACAUUUACUACAUUUAAAGCAGCUGCACUGAUGUUUGGAGCCGUCGUCUCCCUCCUUACGCCCCUACAAUCCUUCACACGUGAGCUUUUCUCGUCUUCCUGUCCGGCUGUUACCUCUGAUUGGCAGCUCACAGCAUGGAUCAAACGAGGCUGAAGCAGCGAAGACGCCCUUAGAAAUCCUCGUUCACAUUGGUUUUCAUCCCGUCUGCGUCUCUGACACGUCUGUCCUGCUCCAUUGUUUCAUAAUGAACCUCCCCCAACACACGCUUGUUGCUAUAGUGACGGGCAGGGACAUCACAAACGUACCGUCAUAGCAGCUUAUGGGCACAAUCUGGUCGAGUCUCCAGACGCGUACGACAUCACUCCAGGUCCCGGGCCUCGCUGCAGAACCAGGCUGCUGUUCUGACUUCCAGAUGUUUGCAGCUGCCAGCGGUCACAACCGUUGCUUCGUGUGUCAGUCAAGUCCCACAUUUACUGCGGUUUAAUUUCAUGUGACUCCCUGAAACCCUCAGCACCCAAUCUCUACAAUUUGUGUCAAAAAUCCAGGUCAAAUCUGAACAUGUCAUGAUGGACGCGCUUCCACAUUUGGUCCGACUCGUCUCUGUCCCGUUGGUCAUUAUGGCUGAUGUGAGCUGAACCUGCAGAAGCUGGUGACUGUUCAUGGCUUCAGGUUCGGUUUUCCAACAGCAGCCUCUUCCACAAAGCUCCUGGGAGCCUCCCUGCAGCCUCAUCCGAUGGCAGAUGAUGCUUCCUCGCGGCCCCAGCCACCGCGUCCUGACGUGACUCACCACCAGAACACACUCUGAGCAGAACGCUAUGACUCGGCAGGACCCAGCAGGACCCAGUCUGUCCAAAGAAUGACAGAUGUCCUACGCGCUGGGCAGUCCCUGAACGCCACACAGCACCUCAGCUCGUCCUGCUCUUACAGGUGAGUGGCUCUGGCAGCACAUGGUGUUGCUCCUCUAAGACUAACAAAUAAAUGGAGGCACAGUAGAAGUUGUUGUAAGACACAGCCAUAGAAUGAGACAGAGGCUACCACAUGCCUGCAGGCUGUGAGGCAGAGGGAGGAAUCUCGAAUAAAUCAGAAUAAUCAGUGUGAUAGACAAAGCUGCUGGCAGCAGAUGGAUCCCAUAAAUGAAGAUGUAAAUCAGGCUGAAGCAGACGUGACAGAGGGAAACCAGCAGGAUGGAGAUGCAGCGAUUUCACACAACCUGCCAUCAAUGUCGCCCGACAGAGUGAGUGUGGGAUUAGUCAGAUGCUCCCACACAUACACGCUCACUAGAUUAUUCUUUAGUCGUCCUUUGAAGUCUGCUUGUCACUAAUCUGAGUCAGUGAAUGUUCUCAGGUUUUAAUCAGUGCCUUCCUGCUGCUGAUGAAUCAGCCUUCGCACACAAACGCCAGGUCAGAGGUCACUAAAGGCCCAGAAAGCAGCGGUGAUGCAGCGCUUUAUUGUGUUGCUGCAGGUUCCGACGUCCUCCAGCGUCUUUGACCUUUAACGGUACUGGUUUCCAUAUGCUGCUGCUUCCUAACCAGUGGCACCUGUUCCCUGAACUCCUUCAUGUAGAAGCAUCAGUUGUUGUGACUUAAUUUUUUACUUUCAGGGAUUUUCAAGCAUUACAGAAUAUUAACCCUCAGUCGUGUCUGCAGCUUCGUUUUAGGGUUAGAACAAUGAAGGCGAGAGGCUGAAAUAAGAUAUUACAUUUUUUUCUCAGAAGUUCAUCAAUUAACCCACAUGAAACUCUAGCGGUGCUCCUAUAGUUAACUUGCUGAUAUUAAUAGAUUGUGCAGCUUCUACCCUAAAUGUGGCUCCAACCAAAAUUCCCCUACGCAAACAUAAAUGCAUGAAUCACCAGGCCAAAGGUCAGUGUUGUUACAGAUGUUGCUUUUAUUUAGAUCUCCAGACACAUAUUUCAGUUACACUGCUGUAGCUGUUAGUUUACAAACAUCAGAAAAUGUACAUCCUCACAUCUGCCUUUUCCUUCAGUGUUCUGCCUCCUUUGCUUCCAGGCGUCGUGGUACAGCCCCGCUAGCGGCCGCAGA